AUACAUUUGUCUUUCAGGAAAAAUAAGCCCAACUUUUCCAGUUAUUGAGAUCCAUGCCUGAACUCCAUUCUACUGAAGCAAUCAUGUUUCAAUUUUGGUACAAAAGAAUUACCCUAACUGACAUAUGGAGGAUGCAAACCCCUUCAUCCAAGAAGAGCUUUUUCAAUAGACAGGUAUCUUUAGAUUGAUUGUUUAUUCUCAGUAAUUUAUAAUUCACUGUUUCUACAUUUUUAUGAAUUGUAAUUCAGUCUGUGGAUAGUGUUUAUACCUGUGGCUGAGGUAUGCAUUAGAUAUAUGUGACCAUAUGCAUG
rnacentral:lncRNA from 1 species